ACGAUUAUAGGUUAAUUGGUAGACCUUGUGAUUUCCAAUCAUAUUGUAUCCGUUCAAGUCGGAUUAAUCGUA
rnacentral:tRNA from 1 species